rfam:Bacillus sp. VT-16-70 Bacillus_obstructivus_contig179, whole genome shotgun sequence.
UUCUUAUUUAGAGAGAUGGAGGGACUGGCCCUGAGAUAUCUCAGCAACAGACAUUUUUGUACUGUGCUAAUUCCAGUAGCGUUUUGCUUGAAGAUAAGAA